UCUCGACCUGCUAUGUGACAAAGGAGACUUUACAAUUAAUAACAAAUCUAAUGACAGACAAGAUCGUGUAUUCAAAUUGGACCUCAUUGGAAAUGGGCUGGAAUCCGACCUAAUGGGCGUUCCUGAUGCUCGUGAUGUAGACAAAGAAGCCACAACUAUGUCUGAACUGAAAGGGCAACAGAACUUACACAUUUUUCAUAGAUAGCCACAAAUUAUGUCACUCAUCAAGCUUCUGGAUAUGAAAUUAGUUAAAAUAUAGUGUGAAUUUUAUUUUUAAAAUAUUUUCCUCUGCAAAAAUCUCAAAAAUAGUGUUAGCAAUAUGUAUUAAUUCUUGUUGGCUGUAUGUUUAUUAAUAUUGUAUUACUACUGCUAAUGUUUAUCUUAUUAAUAAAGUAACCCAUUUUUUGUAAAGAAUAGAUAUUUAAGAUUUUACAACAUGUAGGACCUAAGCUGCAGCAUUUUGAGGAUUAAAAUCUAGUCUAUUAAUAUAGACCUACAGUAUAUAAAUAUAAAUGUAUACAUAUAUCCCAACUUGAUUUCAAUGCUUGAAAAUAAAUAUCAAAUGGAAUUGUG